UACGUAGGGUGCAAGCGUUAAUCGGAAUUACUGGGCGUAAGGCGUGCGCAGGCGGUUGUGUAAGUCUGUCGUGAAAUCCCCGGGCUCAACCUGGGAAUUGCGAUGGAGACUGCACGGCUAGAGUGUGUCAGAGGGGGGUAGAAUUCCACGUGUAGCAGUGAAAUGCGUAGAUAUGUGGAGGAACACCGAUGGCGAAGGCAGCCCCCUGGGAUAACACUGGCGCUCAUGCACGAAAGCGUGGGGAGCAAACAGG
rnacentral:rRNA from 1 species